GAUGAACGCUGGCGGCGUGCCUAAUACAUGCAAGUCGAGCGAACAGACGAGGAGCUUGCUCCUCUGACGUUAGCGGCGGACGGGUGAGUAACACGUGGAUAACCUACCUAUAAGACUGGGAUAACUUCGGGAAACCGGAGCUAAUACCGGAUAAUAUAUUGAACCGCAUGGUUCAAUAGUGAAAGACGGUUUUGCUGUCACUUAUAGAUGGAUCCGCGCCGCAUUAGCUAGUUGGUAAGGUAACGGCUUACCAAGGCGACGAUGCGUAGCCGACCUGUGAGAGUGAUCGGCCACACUGGAACUGAGACACGGUCCAGACUCCUACGGGAGGCAGCAGUAGGGAAUCUUCCGCAAUGGGCGAAAGCCUGACGGAGCAACGCCGCGUGAGUGAUGAAGGUCUUCGGAUCGUAAAACUCUGUUAUUAGGGAAGAACAAAUGUGUAAGUAACUAUGCACGUCUUGACGGUACCUAAUCAGAAAGCCACGGCUAACUACGUG
rnacentral:rRNA from 1 species